rnacentral:rRNA from 1 species
ACGAACGCUGGCGGCGUGCUUAACCCCUGCCAGUCGAACGGAAAGGCCCCUUUGGGGGUACUCGAGUGGCGACCGGGUGAGUAACACGUGAGUAACCUGCCCUUGACUUCGGGAUAACUUCAGGAAACUGGGGCUAAUACCGGAUAGGAAUCCUUGCUGCAUGGUGGGGGUUGGAAAGCUUCGGCGGUUUUGGAUGGACUCGCGGCUUAUCAGCUUGUUGGUGGGGUAGUGGCUUACCAAGGCUUUGACGGGUAGCCGGCCUGAGAGGGCGACCGGCCACAUUGGGACUGAGAUACGGCCCAGACUCCUACGGGAGGCAGCAGUGGGGAAUAUUGCACAAUGGGCGGAAGCCUGAUGCAGCAACGCCGCGUGCGGGAUGACGGCCUUCGGGUUGUAAACCGCUUUCAGCAGGGGCGAAGCUUGUGGUGACGGUACCUGCAGAAGAAGCACCGGCUAACUACGU